rnacentral:lncRNA from 1 species
GGACCUAAGCUGUCAAACCGAUCGCAGGAACCACAGCUGCACAAUUACGUUCAGUGCAGCUGUGGAGGCUGGAGAACUGUGACAACAGAGACCAUAGGACCACCUGGAGACAAGUUGUCACCUGUGUCUAUGGAGGCUCAAUGCAAUAACAUCCUGCAGCUCUUCGCUCUCUCCAGCCUCUGGUCCAGACAGAGGGGAGCCUCCCAGUCCUAAUCACAUAGAGGAAGUGUCUUUAUCACUGCUUUCUCUGUGCUGCUAGGUUUGGGAGACUCUUCACAUAACCAGUGGUGUUGGCCUCCAUCUGUAAACCAAAGACGGUCAAGACAAGUGGUUGUCAUAAA